rnacentral:rRNA from 1 species
UACGAAGGGGGCUAGCGUUGCUCGGAAUCACUGGGCUUAAAGGGUGCGUAGGCGGCGCAGUAAGUUGGGUGUGAAAUCCCUCGGCUUAACCGAGGAAUUGCGCCCAAAACUACUGUGCUCGAGGGAGGUAGAGGUGAGCGGAACUUAGGGUGGAGCGGUGAAAUGCGUUGAUAUCCUAAGGAACACCGGUGGCGAAAGCGGCUCACUGGACCUCUUCUGACGCUGAGGCACGAAAGCUAGGGUAGCAAACGGG